AGAAUACAUUUACUUUGAAAUGUAAUAACUAAAUUCAGUUUUUAUUAGAUUUUAGCUUCUGGACAAAAACUUGGUAUUCAAUGGAAAAGAAGGCAUUUGUUCACUAUUAAUUGAUUAUGACCUGCUAACACCACUGGGUCAAUUUCACCAUCAGAUUCUCAAGCUUUGUAUAAUUUCUGAUGGUGAACUGGCUGGUCCCUGGAUGAUUUCUGGGCAUUUGUCUCCUGAAAUGCAUCUGCAUUUAUCUUGGUUUUUCUCUCUUUUUUAAGCACCAGCAUUUAGUUCUUUGAAGAUUUUUUUUUUUUUAUUUCUUAUUUUUCAGUGACCUUAGGUUUCUCCCCUGGGUGGGAAUUUUUUUUUAUUUGAUUUUUUUUUUUCAGAUAAAUUUUUAAACAAUUUCCCUCCUUUCCAGAGCUUUUUACUUACUUCUCCCUUGCUGUUAACUUCCCUUUAGUUCGGUGGGGAUAAUGGAGAAUAGGAGAGGUCUGGGGCCACUUUCACUGUUAUGGAAGUAAAAAGAAAGAAAACUUGGCUUAGAAAGCAAGUUGUUCUAAUGGCAAGGAAAAUAUUCAAGUUGAAACCUCACAGUAUCUGCUUUGCCCUCCUCCCUACUGGGUUCCAAUUAGUUCAAAGAACAUUUUUUAUUU
rnacentral:lncRNA from 10 species